GCUUUAUAUAUCAUAUUGAUAUCACUUAUUUUUGAUGCAGAUAAUACUUUGAAAGGUUUAUCGACUAAGCUGCCUAACAAAGAAUCUAGACAACCGAUGAUUAUGAUACAUUUGGCAUGAGGUAUGCUAAACAACUGAUACAUUUGACAUGUGGUAUGUUAUGGCUUCUUGUUCUUAUUCCCAUAUGAUGUUUUAAAGCUGAUGGGUGU
rnacentral:lncRNA from 1 species